UAAGGAAUAUUGGUCAAUGGACGCAAGUCUGAACCAGCCAUGCCGCGUGGAGGAUGAAGGCCCUCUGGGUUGUAAACUUCUUUUAUGGGGGACGAAACCCCGGAUUUUUAUCCGGCCUGACGGUACCCCAGGAAUAAGCACCGGCUAACUCCGUGCCAGCAGCCGCGGUAAUACGGAGGGUGCAAGCGUUAUCCGGAUUCACUGGGUUUAAAGGGUGCGUAGGCGGGUUUGUAAGUCAGUGGUGAAAUCCCGAAGCUUAACUUCGGAACUGCCGUUGAUACUACAGGUCUUGAAUACUCGGGAGGUGAGCGGAAUAUGUCAUGUAGCGGUGAAAUGCUUAGAUAUGACAUAGAACACCGAUUGCGAAGGCAGCUCACUACAGAGUCAUUGACGCUGAGGCACGAAAGCGUGGGGAUCAAA
rnacentral:rRNA from 1 species